GCGGGCUUGGAUCUGGGUGAUCCUUCUCCCCCGCCCUCCCCCUCCAUGGCCAACGGCACGAGGUGCAGCGACCUCUUCCGCCCCCACCAUGGCUCCUCACUAUCACACCACCAGCACCCUCCUCAUCCCUUCCCCACUCUCGGCUGAUCCCCAAGGCUGCCCCCUCUCUCAUUAGAUCUGGUCCGGACGAUCACUCGACCGAGCUCGAUACCACACUGCUUGUCUUAGAUGGCCGGAACAUAUUGUUGGCCAUCUCACACUUUGGUUGCAGCAAUUGGAUGUGCCCUGUGAAACCUGCAACAUUUGACCAUUGCAAGCGGCGGUAUGGCAGUCUGAAUCCUGAAGUUCUUGGGAGUGCAGGUUGAGUGUUUGUUGGAAAUAGGGGGGGCGAGACCCAUAGCUCCUUAAAAAAAGGUGUAUUUCCUCUCAAUCACUUGCACAAGCAAACAAGUACUUCCUGGUCAGUUGUAUUCGUUUUGUUAUAUUUAUGAGAACUGCCUUUUCAAACAGGAGAAGAACGGCUAUCUUGCUUUUCUGAAAUCAACAUGAGCUCAGUCUGGAAAAAUGUUGGAUAUUCUUGAAGAAAUACUUGCGAUGAAGGAUAGCCAUUGUUUGCAUGCUUCCUCCCUGUGGUGCAUUUGGUUCCUAAGCCAUCCUCUCAAGCUCCCAUUUCGAUAGUUGUGAUCCCUGGGUCUGCGAAGCCAGGUUUGCAGAAGAAAUUGGGGGGGGGGGGGGGGGGGGGGGGGGG